UUGAACGCUGGCGGCAGGCCUAACACAUGCAAGUCGAGCGGAUGAAGGGAGCUUGCUCCUGGAUUCAGCGGCGGACGGGUGAGUAAUGCCUAGGAAUCUGCCUGGUAGUGGGGGAUAACGUCCGGAAACGGGCGCUAAUACCGCAUACGUCCUGAGGGAGAAAGUGGGGGAUCUUCGGACCUCACGCUAUCAGAUGAGCCUAGGUCGGAUUAGCUAGUUGGUGGGGUAAAGGCCUACCAAGGCGACGAUCCGUAACUGGUCUGAGAGGAUGAUCAGUCACACUGGAACUGAGACACGGUCCAGACUCCUACGGGAGGCAGCAGUGGGGAAUAUUGGACAAUGGGCGAAAGCCUGAUCCAGCCAUGCCGCGUGUGAAGAAGGUCUUCGGAUUGUAAAGCACUUUAAGUUGGGAGGAAGGGCAGUAAGUUAAUACCUUGCUGUUUUGACGUUACCAACAGAAUAAGCACCGGCUAACUUCGUG
rnacentral:rRNA from 1 species